AGCUGGUCCAAUGGUAGUGGGUUAUCAGAACUUAUUAACAUUAGUGUCACUAAAGUUGGUAUACAACCCCCCACUGCUAAAUUUGACUGGCUUUAA
ensembl:Y_RNA Y_RNA Y RNA